UACGGAGGGAGCUAGCGUUGUUCGGAAUUACUGGGCGUAAAGCGCGUGUAGGCUGCUCUGCAAGUCGGAUGUGAAAGCCCUGGGCUCAACCUAGGAAGUGCACUCGAAACUGCAGAGCUUGAGUCUCGGAGAGGAUCGCGGAAUUCUCGGUGUAGAGGUGAAAUUCGUAGAUAUGACACAGAACACCGAUUGCGAAGGCAGCUCACUAAACUGUAACUGACGCUGAGGCACGAAAGCGUGGGGAGCAAACAGG
rnacentral:rRNA from 1 species